UCUCUUAACUAUGUUUACAAUUAAACUUUCAUUCUCCUGAGUUUGUUAAUGCUGAAAACAUUUGGAGACCUGAGCCGAAAGAGU